rnacentral:rRNA from 1 species
AACGAACGCUGGCGGCAGGCUUAACACAUGCAAGUCGAACGGUUGUAGCAAUACAGCAGUGGCAGACGGGUGAGUAACACGUGGGAACCUUCCUAGGGGUACGGAACAACUCAGGGAAACUUGAGCUAAUACCGUAUACGUCCGUGAGGAGAAAGAUUUAUCGCCCUUAGACAGGCCCGCGUCGGAUUAGCUAGUUGGUGGGGUAAUGGCCUACCAAGGCGACGAUCCGUAGCUGAUCUUAGAGGAUGAUCAGCCACACUGGGACUGAGACACGGCCCAGACUCCUACGGGAGGCAGCAGUAGGGAAUCUUGGACAAUGGGCGCAAGCCUGAUCCAGCCAUGCCGCGUGAGUGAAGAAGGUCUUCGGAUUGUAAAGCUCUUUUGCCAGGGACGAUAAUGACGGUACCUGGAGAAUAAGCCCCGGCAAACUUCGUGCCAGCCGCCGCGGUAACAC